GUGUUUGCUUCAGCAGCACAUAUACUAAAAUUGGAAUGUUACAGAAAAGAUUAUCAUGGCCCCUGCGAAAGGAUGAUAUGCAAAUUCGUGAAGGGUUCCAUAUUUUU
ensembl:snRNA U6 U6 spliceosomal RNA